GAAUGUGCCCAAACUUCAAAUUAAUGAAUCUAGACAAAAGAUGUAUGAACAUGGCCUUUCUUUUUCUGCCAUCUUGGAGUCUAUGGAGGCCUGCUGGGAACAGGACGCCUAUAACGCCAAAUAAUGUCUGGAAGGCUAUGGUCCAAGGCCAUUUUUGCUGGCUAUAAGCGGGGUCUCCGGAACCAGAGAGAGCAUACAGCUCUUCUUAAAAACAAGGGUGUUUAUGCUCGAGAUGAAACGGAAUUCUAUCUAGGCAAGAGAUUGGCUUAUGUGUACAAAGCAAAGAACACAGUGACUCCUGGUGGCAAACCAAACAAAACCAGAGUAAUCUAGGGAAAGGUAACUCGUGCUCAUGGAAGCGGUGGCAUGGUUCGUGCCAAAUUCUGAAGCAACCUUCCUGCUAAAGCUAUUGGCCACAGAAUCCGUGUGAUGCUGUACCCCUCAAGGAUUUAAAUUUAAUGAAAAGUAAAUAAAUAGAUCGGAAGAGGGUC